rnacentral:lncRNA from 10 species
AUGUGUGUCUUUGGUUGGCCCAAGCACUGAGGAACUGUGUCUCAGAAGCCCAGUGCGUGCUCCAGAUGUUUCAGUGAGACCGCAUAGUAUGAGGGCAAGGAGAAGCGCCUCUCAACACAGCACCGGGUGUGCGCCUCCAUCUCAGGCCACGCAGAGCCACUGCAAUGCAGCACCCGGAUCUCCCUUCAGGAAAAAGGAUGAAUUCCUCCAGCUCCCGGGAAUGCUGCCAGCAGACAGCACUCACCGUCGGCAUUCCCUGGGAACCGCUUCAGUGAGAAACAAAACCAGAAUUCU